rnacentral:rRNA from 1 species
GACCGUGCAAAGGUAGCAUAAUCAUUUGCCUUAUAAUUGAAGGCUAGUAUGAAUGGUUUGACGAGAAUUAAGCUGUCUCUUUUUGACUAAAUAUAAUUUUAUUAAUAGGUGAAGAAGCCUAUUUUUUAUUGAAAGACAAGAAGACCCUAUCGAGCUUUAAAAAUUUUAGUAGGCUUUACGCUAUAUUUAUAGAAAAACAAGACUACUAAGAACUUUGGUUGGGGCGACUGAGGAACAAAAAAAGCUUCCUUUAUCUAAUAAAAUACCAACAAGUAUUGAUCCAAUACAUUUGAUUAAAGGAAUUAGUUACCGUAGGGAUAACAGCAUAAUCCUCUUUGAGAGUUCUUAUCGAAAAGGGGGUUUGUGACCUCGAUGUUGGACCAGAAUAUCCUGAAGAUGCAGCCGUCUUCAAUGGUUGGUCUGUUCGACCAUUAAAAUUCUACGUGAUCUGAGUUCAGACCGGCGUGAGCCAGGUCAGUUUCUAUCUUCAAUUUUUAAGAUGGCCUUAGUACGAAAGGACCAGGCUAUUACAAAAGUAAUUUGUAACAUUUAGAUUAAAUAUAAAAACCAAUUAAACUUGUAAGUAUCAAAUUAGCAAAGAUUAAUGCAAUUGACUUAGGAUCAAUAGACAUAGGUGAAACCCCUUUAUUUGAUAAAUAAAGAUGGCAGAAAAA